rnacentral:rRNA from 1 species
GGGACAACAGUUGGAAACGACUGCUAAUACCGCAUAAGCGCACAGCUUCGCAUGAAGCAGUGUGAAAAACUCCGGUGGUACAAGAUGGACCCGCGUCUGAUUAGCUGGUUGGUGAGGUAACGGCCCACCAAGGCAACGAUCAGUAGCCGGCCUGAGAGGGUGAACGGCCACAUUGGGACUGAGACACGGCCCAAACUCCUACGGGAGGCAGCAGUGGGGAAUAUUGCACAAUGGGGGAAACCCUGAUGCAGCAACGCCGCGUGAGUGAAGAAGUAUUUCGGUAUGUAAAGCUCUAUCAGCAGGAAAGAAAAUGACGGUACCUGACUAAGAAGCCCCGGCUAACUACGUGCCAGCAGCCGCGGUAAUACGUAGGGGGCAAGCGUUAUCCGGAUUUACUGGGUGUAAAGGGAGCGUAGACGGUUUUGCAAGUCUGAAGUGAAAGCCCGGGGCUUAACCCCGGGACUGCUUUGGAAACUGUAGAACUAGAGUGCAGGAGAGGUAAGUGGAAUUCCUAGUGUAGCGGUGAAAUGCGUAGAUAUUAGGAGGAACACCAGUGGCGAAGGCGGCUUACUGGACUGUAACUGACGUUGAGGCUCGAAAGCGUGGGGAGCAAACAGGAUUAGAUACCCUGGUAGUCCACGCCGUAAACGAUGAUUACUAGGUGUUGGUGGGUAUGACCCAUCGGUGCCGCAG